rnacentral:rRNA from 1 species
AACGAACGCUGGCGGCAGGCCUAACACAUGCAAGUCGAGCGGACCCUUCGGGGUUAGCGGCGGAAGGGUGAGUAACGCGUGGGAAUAUGCCCUUCUCUACGGAAUAGUCCUGGGAAACUGGGGGUAAUACCGUAUACGCCCUUUGGGGGAAAGCUUUAUCGGGGAAGGAUUAGCCCGCGUUGGAUUAGGUAGUUGGUGGGGUAAUGGCCUACCAGGCCGACGAUCCAUAGCUGGUUUGAGAGGAUGAGCAGCCACACUGGGACUGAGACACGGCCCAGACUUCUACGGGAGGCAGGAGUGGGGAAUCUUAGAAAAUGGGGGCAACGAUGAUCUAGCCAUGCCGCGUGAGUGAUGAAGGCCUUAGGGUUGUAAAGCUCUUUCAGCUGGGAAGAUAAUGACGGUACCAGCAGAAGAAGCCCCGGCUAACUCCGUG